GGGCCUAUAGCUCAGUUGGCUAGAGCAUCUCGUUUACACCGAGAGGGUCGGGGGUUCAAGUCCCUCUGGGCCCACCU
rnacentral:tRNA from 1 species